CCUGUAAGCCGUUCUAUCGCUUCGCAGUAAUGCGGAGAGGAAAGUCCGGAUAACACAGAGCACCGCAACACCUAACCGGUGUGUAUCCGCUCAGGCGGGUAACGGAACAGUGCCACAGAAAAUAACAACCCCAAAGUAGAUGUCACUGCGUGGCAUCACUUCGGGGCUAAGGUGAAAACGUGAGGUAAGAGCUCACGGGUACUUAUGGUAACAUGAGUAUCGGGUAAACCCUGCGGGUUACAAUGUCAAAUAUGCCGGAGUAAAAGAAAAGCGGCUCGUUUUAAUCUUCGGCGGGUAGACAGCAAGAACCUGGUGGUGACGUCAGGUCCAGAUAAAUGAUAGAAACUCAAACAGAAUCCGGCUUAUGAGUUUACAGGGAUU
rnacentral:RNase_P_RNA from 1 species